UACAUGGGGUGCAAACGUUGCUCGGAAUUAUUGGGCGUAAAGCGCGCGUAGGCGGUUACUUAAGUCGGAUGUGAAAGCCCUCGGCUUAACUGAGGAAGUGCACCCGAAACUGAGUAGCUAGAGUACGAAAGAGGGUCGCGGAAUUCCCGGUGUAGAGGUGAAAUUCGUAGAUAUCGGGAGGAACAUCUGUGGCGAAGGCGGCUACCUGGACCAGCACUGACACUGAGGCACGAAAGCGUGGGGAGCAAACAGG
rnacentral:rRNA from 1 species